GGGCGUUUAGCACAGUGGUAGCGCGCUUGCUUUGCACAUCGCGUGAUUGCAUGAGGUCGAGGGUUCAAACCCCUCAACGUCCA